rnacentral:rRNA from 1 species
UACGUAGGGUGCGAGCGUUAAUCGGAAUUACUGGGCGUAAAGCGUGCGCAGGCGGUUUUGUAAGUCAGAUGUGAAAGCCCCGGGCUUAACCCGGGAAUGGCAGUGGAAACUGGCGGGCUUGAGUGUGGCAGAGGGGGGUGGAAUUCCGCGUGUAGCAGUGAAAUGCGUAGAUAUGCGGAGGAACACCGAUGGCGAAGGCAAUCCCCUGGACCUGUACUGACGCUCAUGCACGAAAGGCGUGGGGAGCAAACAGG